rnacentral:rRNA from 1 species
AGCGGCGGACGGGUGAGUAACGCGUAGGCAACCUGCCCCAUACAGAGGGAUAGCCUCGGGAAACCGGGAUUAAAACCUCAUAACGCAGAGAGUUCACAUGGACUAUCUGCCAAAGAUUCAUCGGUAUGGGAUGGGCCUGCGUCUGAUUAGCUAGUUGGUGAGGUAACGGCUCACCAAGGCGACGAUCAGUAGCCGACCUGAGAGGGUAAUCGGCCACAUUGGAACUGAGACACGGUCCAAACUCCUACGGGAGGCAGCAGUGGGGAAUAUUGCACAAUGGGCGAAAGCCUGAUGCAGCAACGCCGCGUGAGCGAUGAAGGCCUUUGGGUCGUAAAGCUCUGUCCUUGGGGAAGAAACAAAUGACGGUACCCUUGGAGGAAGCCCCGGCUAACUACGUGCCAGCAGCCGCGGUAAUACGUAGGGGGCGAGCGUUAUCCGGAAUUAUUGGGCGUAAAGAGUGCGUAGGUGGCCAUGUAAGCGCGGGGUGAAAGGCAAUAGCUUAACUAUUGUAAGCCUUGCGAACUGUGUGGCUUGAGUGCAGGAGAGGAAAGUGGAAUUCCUAGUGUAGCGGUGAAAUGCGUAGAUAUUAGGAGGAACACCAGUGGCGAAGGCGACUUUCUGGACUGUAACUGACACUGAGGCACGAAAGCGUGGGGAGCAAACAGGAUUAGAUACCCUGGUAGUCCACGCC